ensembl:lncRNA
UUCAGCUGUUUGCCACAUAGACAGAGGGAGUCACUCAUCCAUCUCAAAUGAGCCCUUUAACAGGUGGUGCCACUGAACUAUGGUCUGUAAAGCACCUGUGGUUUCUAUAACAUCACAAUAUUGAAUGGGAUGUAAAUACUGGUAUGUACAAGUGAGAAACUCACGGGGUAAUGUGUAGGAAGGAUGUUAUGAAAACAUUCCUUUUGCUGUCUGCUGCCAAUUGCUGACAUGACAAACGGAUCACACCUAUAAUUAAAUCUAGGUCUUAUCUAAGAAAAUGGUCCCAUCAUGAAGAGAAUGUAUCUGGAUUCGGCAGAAACAAAUUCACCUACAUUUAAUCUCAUAAAGGAUAUUAGAGCUCUAGAGAAAAGCUAGUAGUUGCAAAAUUUCAGAGUCUUUUCAAUUGCACUAUGGGUAGUUGUGUGUGCAGCACAGUCGGCAAUCAUUCCCUUUGCCCAGCGUGGCUAAUUUCAAUUUCAUGUGCUAUUGUGAGAGACAGGGUGAGAGAGGGACAGCUAAAUUGCAGAGAAAGAAGUAUUUUUUUUUUUUUUGUUAUCACUAACCAACCCUGCAUUUAUUCAGCAUCCUGGCAGCAUCCCCGUCAAAAGACCAGAGUCCACAGCUUCACAUAUUGUUCUCAUGGGCAGCUUGCCUCUGCAGGAAAGGUGUAAAUUAGAGUAGCUGUGACUCGGUUGCUACCUCACCAUACCUGGCUCUUAUCCAGUGGACAUUAUGCUCACGGUGCCUGAUAAGUCUAGCUCUUUUUCUGUGAGCUCAUUCUCCAUCAUAUAAAGUGACCCGUAUGUCAGAGCAUCUGCAUCACCGAUGUUGAAAACGGUCACAAGAACAUUUCUUUCUACUUUGCUUUAAGAAGCCAGACUAAAUUGUAUUUUUUGAAGUGGUCUUGAGCAACAGGUCUCCAGGAUUUUUGAAGGUCUGUCAAAGUUUUCCUGUUUUUCACCAAUUUAAAAAAUCUAUUUUUGAACAUUUUAAGUUUUUAGUAUUUUGUUGUAAAGCAUUUUGUGAUAUUAGUCUUGAAAGGUCCUAUACAAAUAUCAUUUCUGUUAUGUUUUUUUAGUUUGGUUCACUUAAAGGUUGUAAACUGUCAUUCCUGGAAAGCAUUGAUAACAAAGCACAAUCACUUGGCAGCACCUCAGUAAACAACACAUUUAUGCUCAUUUGUUUACGCUUUAUUCCAUACAAAC